ACGACCCACUGUGCAACAUCCUUAGAAAAUCCCCCCUGAAGAAGAGCGUUCACAACUUCUCGCUUUGAGGAGACCUCCUUUGGCAGCUUGCUAAGGAAAGAUAUCAACUCUGCUGGAUGGUCCUCUCCAUCUCCACCAGCUCGAACUUUUCCAGGAGUAGCAUCUAGAACCCAAGCUUUAACUGGUCGCGCAAGAGGCUUUGCAGCUUGUUC
rnacentral:misc_RNA from 1 species